rnacentral:lncRNA from 1 species
AUUAAUGAAAAUACAAUUCGACAAAAAGAAAAAGGAAGACUUAUUAUUUUUAUUUUCACGAAAAUGAUAGUGAGAACUUAUAGAGAUAAUUUUUUAAUUUUUUAUAAAUUUAAUUGAGAUAAUUAAAUACUUGCCUCUAGAAGGUACUUUGUACAUCUUUUGUGUAUAGACAAAAUAUGCCUAUGAUCAUGUUUGAUCUUAAGAAUUUUCAUGGCUCUAGAAAUACAAG